rfam:Fistulina hepatica ATCC 64428 unplaced genomic scaffold FISHEscaffold_96, whole genome shotgun sequence.
ACACCAGUGGUGAAACGGUUAUCAUGCCUGCCUUCCAUCUUAUGGCAUGUAAUUUGUAGCAGGCGGCGGGGGUUCGACUCCCUCCUGGUGUA